rnacentral:rRNA from 1 species
AUGCCUCGCUAUAAAAGGGGCCAUCCGUUCGCCAUCCCCAUUCAUCCAACCUUAGGAAACAAACAAGCAUUAUAUACUCCACCAGCUAGGUCGAAGAUGUUCCGGUGGGGCAAGAGCACCAAGAACCCAGCUCCGGCAGCCGGGGAGGAGGUAGCGGUGCAGAAGGUGGAGAAGAUCGAGUUCCGCAACCUCGUCCACAUCAAGCCUCCUGUCGGCACCAGCGGCGGGGCCAUCGGCAACGCGUGGAAGCCACAGCCAUGGACGGCCGGCGCCGGCAGCUCCGGCGCGGCUCGGAAGCCCGACAGCCCCGGAGACGACAUCAACUCGAGGGCGGGCAGGUUCAUCGAGGACACUAAGAAGAGGUGGCGCCUCGGCGUCAAGUCAUUCGGCGGCCGUUAG